ensembl:lncRNA
GCCCCCUCCCUCUGGCUGGCACAUUCCACUCCCUUCAGAGGGGAGUUUUAUGAAUGUACCAAGAGACUAGUGUUCAUUGUAGCAGAAUUGCAGUGCACUGGACUGUACAGAACUGGGUAGCAUCCACACUGUCUAUGAGGGUGCGGUCCGGCUGCACUGAAAGCAACAACACUGACAGAUAGAGAGAGAGAGAGAAGGAAUAAGACAGAAGAGGAGGGAGAGAUAUCACCACAAGAGGAAUACAGCAAGGGAUGAAAGGAGACACCCCUGUGAACAGCACCAUGAGUGUCGGUCAGACCAGGAAGCUGGUGGAACAGCUUAAGAUCGAAGCCAGUUUUUGUCGAAUCAAGUCUAUGGGACAGUCACAGGCCUCCCGGUUUUCAUCAAAAAUAUCUUAAAUUGUGUUCCGAAGACGAACAAAGCUUUUACUGGUUUGGAACGACAUGGGGGUGUCUAAGGCAGCAGCGGACUUGAUGGCCUACUGUGAUGCCCAUGCAUGUGAGGACCCUCUCAUCACCCCUGUGCCCACUUCAGAAAACCCGUUCAGGGAGAAAAAAUUCUUCUGUGCUCUGCUCUGAACAGGACACCGGAAGGGCAGAAUUAGUCUCAUUUAGAUGACAAUGAUUUGUGUACACACAUCACACAACACUCGACGAGACACGACACAGAAAAAUAAAUCCCAAAUUAAGCUUUAAUAAAUGCAAAGUGGUUUCCAAAUUUCAGCAGCUGACAGCGCCAAAUUUACAAAAUCAUUCUCGUGAGAAUAUUUUUAUUCUCCUGUUUUUUUUGGGGAAACCUUGUUCCUUUUAAUUAAGGGGACAAAAUAACAUCAAGAUUGAUACAAAUUGAUUAGAUGAAAUCACACACUGAUACACACAUAUGCAAGCACAGUUUUUUAAUUAAGCAAAAGGUAAUAGGUGCGGGUCUGGAUAUUUCAAUGAUUUCAAAUGUUAUUAUAUUCAAGACAUUGGUUUUGUUCUUCACAUAGCAUACUAUGGUGAUUUACAAAUUCUUUAUGUAUAUUUAGAUUUUUUUUUAAAUGUUUUGUUUGAGGUGGCUAUGUACACUGGUAGACAUUUCUGAUGAACUGGUAGAGCUUUUAAAGUUUAAAUCAUGUGAGAUGAUGAGACUGCUAAUACCUACACACAAAUACCACCAGUACAUAACGCUCCUAAAGGGAUUUGUUAUGUCCUAAAACCGAUUUAAUUUUUCUGACCACUUAAACAAGAGGUAGAGGUAUCAAGUCUCUAAGAGUUGGAAAUUAGCUUAAAAGAUGAAUUAUUGGAGAAAAAUGUAAAGAGAAUAUCUGUCAAAACUUGUGGUCCCAAGUAACAGAUUAAAUAAUGCAGACAGAAUCCAAUGAAGGAAUGAAUAAAACUUUUAAACACAACACACUUAUGUGUACCACUUAUUGAGAUUAAGGAGAAAAAAAUAACUCACUAUUGUUCUUUUUGUUGUUGUUGAGGAAAUUAAUAAUUUUAUUCAGCAAGGACAAAAAAUAAUAAGUGACAUUAGGUUUAUGUUACAAAAGAUUUCUAUUUCAAAUCAAAAUUUAAAUAAAAUAUACUUUUUAACUUUCUAGUCAUCAUUCUAGGAUCACCAUUAUUACAAAAUUAAGCAGCACAACCGUUUUCAACAUUGAUAAUAAAUGUUUCUUGAGCAGCAAAUCAACAUAUUAGAAUGAUUUCUGAAGGAUCAUGAGACUCUGAAAAGUGGAGUGACAACUGCUGAAAAUUCAGCUUCACUAUCCCAGAAAAAAAUUACAUUUUAAAAUAGAAAACAGUUAUUCUAAAUUGUAAUAAUUUCAUAAUAUUACUAUUUUUACUGAUCAAUUAAAUGCAACCUAGGUGAGUAUGAGAUACAUCUUAGUCUUUCAAAAUAAUUAACUACCACAAACUUUUUAACAGUAGUGUAUGUUCAUGAUUUGUAAUAAUCCAAAGCAAAACAGGUAAUUCCACUUCUGUUACAACAGGUUGAGCUGGAUUGGUAAUAAUGUUUUUCAUUCCACAUCCUCACCACACACCCUAUCAAUUACUACUUUUUGGACAAUUUGUUCAAAAAGAAAUAAAAUGCAAAACACAAAAAGGUUAAUAAAAAAAAAAAUAGUAGAAUCAUAAGAAUAUUUAUGAAAAUUUCUUACACCAUUCAUGCAGCAUUUUAAACAUCUGACAGCAGCAAAUGCCAAUCAAGAUGUGAAUUAAGUGGCUACACUAUGCAGAAUGAAUCAGACCACGCAUCUUUAGGUACACAUGCACACUUAAAACAAAUCCAGAUUUUUAUUAAGGCAAUUGUGGCUUGGGAGCAUAAAAACCAUAUCACAAAAUGACACCAUUAUGCAUCUGAUCAUUUGAAUAAUACAUAUUAAAGAACAGUGACAAGUUCACAUAAACCUUUAAAAGUGGCACAUUUUGGACAGUUAGUUAAAACCUUCAAACAUCAUAAACAGAGAUCUUGGCAAAUGUGUAUUUGGAUACUGCAUAUGCAUGGAUGACUUUGUGUCACACCCCCAAAACUAAAGAUCCAGUGUGAAUGAUGUUUGAACAACACAAAAUAAGCUGUUAUAUUACAAGUGUACCCAUCUGAAGACCUUCUAGUGUGAUAAUUCUAUGCUAAGAAUUAAUAUCAAUACAUCCAAAAAAGAUGUACGAAAAGACAAAAUGAUAAAGUGAGGUAAAUGUAUUCCACAUACAAGUGUAGGUGGGGGGGGCUGUGAAUAUACAACAACAACUAAAAAAAGUCAACUACAGGAAUGAGUCACACCACUCUCUCAGACAGCUAUAACAGUCGCCUUGCUGUUUAGUGUUGGCUCCACAAGUAUCCUUCAACCAUUCCCGAAACAACUCUUCAUCUUUCUUCAGUACCAAGAACUGUCCUAGAACAACAUAUGCC